ACCAGUCUUUAGUCAAGGGUAGAUGAAUAGCUGCACUCCCAUGCUAGAACCUCCAAACAAACUCUCAAGGUCCAUUGUAGGAACAUAGGGUAGUAAAGC
rnacentral:sRNA from 14 species